GAAGGCAUCUAAGUGGGAAGCCAACUUCAAGAUUAAUUUUCGUAAUUAGGUUCCUGAUAGACUAACAGGUCGAUAGGCGUUAGGUGUACGCACAGUAAUGUGUUUAGCCGAGACGUACUAAUAAACCGAAAAUUUUUUUGGU
rnacentral:rRNA from 1 species